AUACGUAGGUGGCGAACGUUGUCCGGAAUCACUGGGCGUAAAGGGCGCGUAGGCGGUCAUUUUAGUCAGGUGCGUAAACUGUCGGCUUAACCGGGAGAUUGCACCUGAUACUGGAUGACUUGAGUGCAGGAGAGGACAGUGGAAUUCCUAGUGUAGCGGUGAAAUGCGUAGAUAUUAGGAGGAACACCAGUGGCGAAGGCGGCUGUCUGGACUGUAACUGACGCUGAGGCGCGAAAGCGUGGGGAGC
rnacentral:rRNA from 1 species